UGAACCAACUUGGUUAUUUCUUUUGCUUUAAAACCUUGUUUUCCAAAUCCCCAAUUCACGUUACCUAGGAAAGUCUUCUUCUUCAUUCCAAAAUCCGACUGCUUCGCUACCAUCUGCUAUUUAAUCAUUCCCAAAAAAUCCAAAUCUCCAAUUCGAAGUCUUAAAAGAUGGAAGAAGAAGAGAUUCAAGGUUAGUCUUUCAGUUUAUAUCAAUUUUGAUUGGUGAAAGGCUUUAAAUCUAUUUAGUUUGAGGUGUUAAUUAUUUGAUUGGUGAUUUUGUAGAACCAUUUCCUGCUUUGCUGUUGAUUUUGCUAAAAUAUUGGUAGUCUCAAGAGUACCUGUUAGAGACGAAAACAGUUAUUACCAGCACCUGUUAGAGACUAAAAUAUUGCUGAUCUUUGUUGUCAAGAUGCUUAAAGCUAGUUCUUUGUUAGAGACAUUGACACAGAAUUUGAGAUGCAAUGGAUGGUCCUACCCAGAAGAAUAACUUACUCAAUGCUUUAACUCUCCUAACAAUAAUAACGAAAUCAUUACCUAUAUAAAUAAGUCACAGGUGUCACUGACAUCAAUUUGCAGAUAUUGUAAGAUAAUUAUUUGCAAAUGUAAGCUUUGUUAUAACAAGCAGGCAGUUAGUGUCAUGGAAGUUAAAGUUAAUAUUUAUACCGAAUGCAUGUAA